UAUGUCUCUGCUCUUCUACAUGUGGUUAGACAUUGUUCAGUUUGUAUUAAACAUGCCAGAUUAACCAGCCAGAUGGAUGCUCUGGAGAUUCCAUAUGUUGAAGAGGUUGGACUGAGAAAUGCAUCCUCAAAUAUAUGGUUCCGACUUCCAUUUGCCCGAGGCGAUUCAUGCCAGCACAUUUGCUUGCGGCUUGGUAGACCAGGAAGCAUGUAUUGGGAUGUCAAAAUUAAUGAUCAACACUUCCGAGAUUUAUGGGAGCUUCAGAAGGGCAGCAGCAGCACACCUUGGGGCUCUGGAGUUCGUAUUGCCAAUACGUCUGAUGUGGACUCCCAUAUCUGUUAUGAUCCAGAAGGUGUUGUUCUGAGUUAUCAGUCUGUUGAGGCUGAUAGCAUAAAGAAGUUAGUAGCAGAUAUUCGAAGGCUUUCUAAUGCUAGAAUGUUUGCCCUUGGAAUGCGUAAGCUCCUUGGAGUAAGACUGGACGAGAAAUCAGAUGAAAAUAGUGCAAACUCUGAUGCUAAAGUGCCAUCUGGAGGUAAAAGUGGCGUUGAGGCAGCUGAUAAGUUAUCAGAACAGAUGAGGCGGGCAUUUAAAAUAGAGGCAGUUGGACUAAUGAGUUUGUGGUUCAGUUUUGGGUCUGGAGUGCUGGCUCGCUUUGUUGUUGAGUGGGAAUCUGGUAAAGAGGGAUGCACAAUGCACGUUUCUCCUGACCAAAUAUGGCCGCAUACUAAGUUUCUGGAAGAUUUUAUAAAUGGUGCUGAAGUUGCAUCCCUUUUGGAUUGCAUUCGCCUCACUGCAGGACCAUUGCAUGCUCUGGCAGCUGCUACGCGUCCUGCGCGAGCUGGUCCUGCUCCGGGUGUCCCUGGGAUAACUUCAGCUAUUGCUUCUAUGUCAAAACCGUCAGGGUAUGUGCAAUCCCAGGGAGUUUUGCCUAGCAGUUCUGUUAACAAUAUUACCCAGCCAACUUCUGGCUCUGUAGGGAAUACCGUUGCAUCUACUGGUACUGUUCCUCUUGGGAAUAUUAGUCUUCAUGGUACUGCAAUGUUAGCUGCUGCUGGUCGAGGGGGGCCUGGCAUUGUUCCUAGCUCAUUGUUGCCAAUUGAUGUUUCUGUUGUGCUACGUGGUCCAUACUGGAUCCGAAUUAUUUAUCGCAAGCAUUUUGCAGUUGACAUGAGAUGCUUUGCCGGAGAUCAGGUUUGGUUACAACCAGCAACACCACCUAAGGAAGGCCCAAAAUUUGGAGGUUCACUGCCUUGUCCACAAUUUCGCCCUUUCAUAAUGGACCAUGUUGCCCAAGAAUUGAAUGGAUUAGAUCCGGGCUUUGCUGGUAGUCAACAGACAGUUGGACCAGUUAAUUCUAACCCCUCAAAUCCUGGUUCAGUUUCUCAAUUAUCAGGUGCUAAUGGAGUUAACUUGCCUAGUUCUGCGGCACUUUCUAGGGCAGCUACCCAAGUUGCUGCUCUAAAUCGUAUUGGAAAUGCUGUUCCAGGAUCUUCAAAUUUGGCUGUUGUGAGCUCAGGAUUGCCUAUACGUAGAUCC
rnacentral:misc_RNA from 1 species